CCUACGGUGGGCUGCAGUGGGGAAUAUUGCACAAUGGGCGGAAGCCUGAUGCAGCGACGCCGCGUGGGGGAUGACGGCCUUCGGGUUGUAAACUCCUUUCACCAUCGACGAAGGGUUUCUGACGGUAGAUGGAGAAGAAGCACCGGCUAACUACGUGCCAGCAGCCGCGGUAAUACGUAGGGUGCGAGCGUUGUCCGGAAUUACUGGGCGUAAAGAGCUCGUAGGUGGUUUGUCGCGUCGUCUGUGAAAUUCCGGGGCUUAACUCCGGGCGUGCAGGCGAUACGGGCAUAACUUGAGUACUGUAGGGGAGACUGGAAUUCCUGGUGUAGCGGUGAAAUGCGCAGAUAUCAGGAGGAACACCGGUGGCGAAGGCGGGUCUCUGGGCAGUAACUGACGCUGAGGAGCGAAAGCAUGGGGAGCGAACAGGAUUAGAUACCCUAGUAGUC
rnacentral:rRNA from 1 species